rnacentral:pre_miRNA from 1 species
GGUAAAAUUGCUGGGCCAUAUGGUAACUCCACAUUUAUUUUCUGAGGAAUUGCCAAACUCUUUUACAAAGUGGCUGCACCAUUUUACAUUUCCACCAGCAAU